UACGGAGAGGGCUAGCGUUAUUCGGAAUCAUUGGGCGUAAAGGGCGCGUAGGCGGAUUAGUAAGUUAAAAGUGAAAUCCCAAGGCUCAACCUUGGAAUUGCUUUUAAAACUGCUAGUCUAGAGAUUGAAAGAGGAUAGAGGAAUUCCUAGUGUAGAGGUGAAAUUCGUAAAUAUUAGGAGGAACACCAGUGGCGAAGGCGUCUAUCUGGUUCAAAUCUGACGCUGAGGCGCGAAGGCGUGGGGAGCAAACAGG
rnacentral:rRNA from 1 species